rnacentral:rRNA from 1 species
AUGAACGCUGGCGGCGUCCCUAAUACAUGCAAGUCGAGCGAACAGACGAGGAGCUUGCUCCUUCGACGUUAGCGGCGGCCGGGUGAGUAACACGUAGGUAACCUACCUAUAAGUCUGGGAUAACUUCGGGAAACCGGAGCCAAUACCGGAUAAUAUUUCGAACCGCAUGGUUCGAUAGUGAAAUAUGGCUUUGUGUGUACUUAUAUGUGGACCUGCACCGUAUUAGCUAGUUGGUAAGGUACCGGCUUACCAAGGAAACGAUACGUAUACGAGCUGAGAGGGUGGUCGGCCACACUAGAAUUUGAACACGGUCCAGACUACUACGGUAGGCCGCAGUAGGGAAUCUUCAGCAAUGGGCGGAAGCAUGACGGAGCAACGCCGCGUGAGUGAUGAAGGUCUUCGGAUCGUAAGAAUCUGUUAUUAGGGAAGAACAAACGUGUAAGUAACUGUGCACGUCUUGACGGUACCUAAUCAGAAAGCCACGGCUAACUACGUG